rfam:Myotis brandtii contig166277, whole genome shotgun sequence.
GAGACACCUUAUAAGGCAGGACUUACUUCAGUGGGGCUUUGGUGCUCACUGAGUCUGCCACUUGAGUGUGUCACU